rnacentral:rRNA from 1 species
UGCAUAUCAAUAAGCGGAGGAAAAGAAACCAACAGGGAUUGCCCUAGUAAUGGCGAAUGAACAGGCAAAAGCUCAGAUUUGAAACCCUCGGGAUUGUAAUCUGGAGACCUGGAUUUGGCACGCUGACCAAGUCUUCUGGAACGGAGCGCCAUGGAGGGUGACAGCCCCGUAGCAGCAGCCACUGUAAAUCCGGGUCGACGAGUCGAGUUGUUUGGGAAUGCAGCUCUAAGUGGGUGGUAUGCUCCAUCUAAAGCUAAAUAUUGGCGAGAGACCGAUAGCGAACAAGUACUGUGAAGGAAAGAUGAAAAGAACUUUGAAAAGAGAGUGAAAAAGUACGUGAAAUUGUUGAAAUGGAAGGCAAUGAGGUGCGAUUGAACCGGACGUUUGCGGGCAGGACAAAAGCGCAGGCCGCCUCGGCAUUGCCUGCGUGCAUACUGCCUCGCGGACUACCAGUUCUAACAACGCCUUAUUGCACCCGUCUUGAAACACGG